rnacentral:rRNA from 1 species
CCCUUAGAUGUUCUGGGCCGCACACGCGCUACACUGAAGGAGGCAGCGUGUACUCCUGGAUCGAAAGAUUUGGGUAACCCGCGAAUCUCCUUCGUGCUAGGGAUUGAGGUUUGAAAUUAUCCUUCAUGAACGAGGAAUUCCCAGUAAGUGCAAGUCAUAAGCUUGCGCUGACUACGUCCCUGCCCUUUGUACACACCGCCCGUCGCUACUACCGAUUGAAUGAUUUAGUGAGGACUUCGGACUGGGACCGAUGCGGCUUUCGGGCUGCGUCGGUAUUCUGGAAAGAUGUCCAAACUGUAUCAUUUAGAGGAAGUAAAAGUCGUAACA